UACGUAGGGUGCGAGCGUUGUCCGGAAUUAUUGGGCGUAAAGAGCUCGUAGGCGGCUUGUCGCGUCGGAUGUGAAAGCCCGGGGCUUAACUCCGGGUCUGCAUUCGAUACGGGCAGGCUAGAGUGUGGUAGGGGAGAUCGGAAUUCCUGGUGUAGCGGUGAAAUGCGCAGAUAUCAGGAGGAACACCGGUGGCGAAGGCGGAUCUCUGGGCCAUUACUGACGCUGAGGCGCGAAAGCGUGGGGAGCGAACAGG
rnacentral:rRNA from 1 species